GGGGCCGCAUGGAAUGCACGCGA
rnacentral:siRNA from 1 species